rnacentral:rRNA from 1 species
AGGACGAACGCUGGCGGCGUGCUUAACACAUGCAAGUCGAGCGGAAAGGCCCUUCGGGGUACUCGAGCGGCGAACGGGUGAGUAACACGUGAGUAAUCUGCCCCUAGCUCUGGGAUAGCUCCGGGAAAACCGGGAUUAAUACCAGAUACGACCACUUUAGACAUCUUCUGUGGUGGAAAGAACUUCGGCUAGGGAUGAACUCGCGGCCUAUCAGCUUGUUGGUGAGGUAACGGCUCACCAAGGCGACGACGGGUAGCCGGCCUGAGAGGGCGACCGGCCACACUGGGACUGAGACACGGCCCAGACUCCUACGGGAGGCAGCAGUGGGGAAUAUUGCGCAAUGGGCGAAAGCCUGACGCAGCGACGCCGCGUGGGGAUGAAGGCCUUCGGGUUGUAAACCCCUUUCAGCAGGGACGAAGGCGAAAGUGACGGUACCUGCAGAAGAAGCGCCGGCUAACGUACGUGCCAGCAGCCGC